rnacentral:lncRNA from 1 species
UUAAACAAAGCCUAUCAUUGUUAAUGUUGAGUGGCAAAUCAAUUAUUCUUCAUUUUUUUGUUUUUCAUCUUUUGUUUUUCUUUUAUUUUUUAUUUUUUAUUUUUUAAUUAGAUACUUUUAGUGAAAAAAACAAUGGAUGUAUAUACAUGGCACUAAAUUUUGUUUUUUUGUUUUUUAGAUUUUUUAUUUUCUUAAUAAGAUAAUUUACAACAAAAAACGUGGCAAAUAAAUUUUUU